CCUACGGGAUGCAGCAGUGGGGAAUAUUGGGCAAUGGGCGCAAGCCUGACCCAGCAACGCCGCGUGAAGGAAGAAGGCUUUCGGGUUGUAAACUUCUUUUCUCAGGGACGAAGGACGUGACGGUACCUGACUAAUAAGCCACGGCUAACUACGUGCCAGCAGCCGCGGUACUACGUAGGUGGCAAGCGUUAUCCGGAUUUACUGGGUGUAAAGGGCGUGUAGGCGGGGAGGCAAGUCAGAUGUGAAAGCCACGGGCUCAACCUGUGGCCUGCAUUUGAAACUGUGUUGCUUGAGUACUGGAGAGGCAGACGGAAUUCCUAGUGUAGCGGUGAAAUGCGUAGAUAUUAGGAGGAACACCAGUGGCGAAGGCGGUCUGCUGGACAGCAACUGACGCUGAGGCGCGAAAGCGUGGGGAGCAAACAGGAUUAGAUACCCUUGUAGUC
rnacentral:rRNA from 1 species